AACGAACGCUGGCGGCAGGCUUAACACAUGCAAGUCGAACGCCCCGCAAGGGGAGUGGCAGACGGGUGAGUAACGCGUGGGAACGUGCCCUUCGCUUCGGAAUAGUCCCGGGAAACUGGGUUUAAUACCGGAUACGCCGUAUUGGGAAAGAUUUAUCGGCGAAGGAUCGGCCCGCGUUGGAUUAGCUAGUUGGCGGUGUAAUGGACCACCAAGGCGACGAUCCAUAGCUGGUCUGAGAGGAUGAUCAGCCACACUGGGACUGAGACACGGCCCAGACUCCUACGGGAGGCAGCAGUGGGGAAUCUUGGACAAUGGGCGCAAGCCUGAUCCAGCCAUGCCGCGUGAGUGAAGAAGGCCUUAGGGUUGUAAAACUCUUUCGCCGGAGAAGAUAAUGACGGUAUCCGGAGAAGAAGCCCCGGCUAACUUCGUGCCAGCAGCCGCGGUAACAC
rnacentral:rRNA from 1 species